rnacentral:rRNA from 1 species
UUGGAGGGCAAGUCUGGUGCCAGCAGCCGCGGUAAUUCCAGCUCCUAUAGCGUAUAUUAAAGUUGUUGCAGUUAAAAAGCUCGUAGUUGAAUUCCGGGGUUAGUAGGUUGGUCAUGCCUCUGGUAUGUACUGGUCUCACUGAUUCCUCCUUCCUGAUGAGCCGUAAUGCCAUUAAUUUGGUGUUGCGGGGAAUUUGGACUGUUACUUUGAAAAAAUUAGAGUGUUUAAAGCAAGCUAACGCUUGAAUACAUUAGCAUGGAAUAAUGAAAUAGGACGUUCGAUCCUAUUUUGUUGGUUUCUAGGAUUGACGUAAUGAUUAAUAGGGAUAGUUGGGGGCAUUAGUAUUCAAUUGUCAGAGGUGAAAUUCUUGGAUUUAUUGAAGACUAACUACUGCGAAAGCAUUUGCCAAGGAUGUUUUCAUUAAUCAAGAACGAAAGUUAGGGGAUCGAAGACGAUCAGAUACCGUCGUAGUCUUAACCAUAAACUAUGCCGACUAGGGAUCGGAUGAUGUUAAUUUUUUAAUGACUCAUUCGGCGCCUUACGGGAAACCAAAGUGUUUGGGUUC